GAUGAACGCUGGCGGCGUGCCUAAUACAUGCAAGUCGAGCGAACAGACGAGGAGCUUUCUCCUCUGACGUUAGCGGCGGACGGGUGAGUAACACGUGGAUAACCUACCUAUAAGACUGGGAUAACUUCGGGAAACCGGAGCUAAUACCGCAUAAUAUAUUGAACCGCAUGGUUCAAUAGUGAAAGACGGUUUUGCUGUCACUUAUAGAUGGAUCCGCGCCGCAUUAGCUAGUUGGUAAGGUAACGGCUUACCAAGGCAACGAUGCGUAGCCGACCUGAGAGGGUGAUCGGCCACACUGGAACUGAGACACGGUCCAGACUCCUACGGGAGGCAGCAGUAGGGAAUCUUCCGCAAUGGGCGAAAGCCUGACGGAGCAACGCCGCGUGAGUGAUGAAGGUCUUCGGAUCGUAAAACUCUGUUAUUAGGGAAGAACAAAUGUGUAAGUAACUAUGCACGUCUUGACGGUACCUAAUCAGAAAGCCACGGCUAACUACGUG
rnacentral:rRNA from 1 species